ensembl:lncRNA
GCUAGCUUUUGCUUCGCAUUUAAAUUCUUGGACUGCUCUAAAGCAACAGGCAAGUCACACUCCAGGCUUUUGCUCUUGCCUUUCAGUGUUGUUAACGUGAUCUAGUAUUUUCCGUAUGGUUACAAAUAACCACCGGCUAGGGUCGAGUCGUCCCUAUUCUUGACUCUUGUACAUGGAACCAAGCGGAGUCAGAACUAAAUUAAGUUUGUCCGGCAUGAUUAAUUGCUCACAAUUGCAGGCUGAUUGCUAUCUUGUUCCCAUUGGUGACUCAUUUCCCUGUGUCCCCUUGCAUAGAUGUGGGCAGCUGAUCAGGGUGUCAUCCUCUGUCCCCCCUUACUUGUUCCCUCCAUUGGGAAGCCAUUCUGGUUGCUUGCUGGUCUUUCAGGACCCUUCCCCUUUGGGAACAAGACGUCACUGGAGCCCUGCAGGCGUCGCUUGGACCUCUGCCACUGUGUAAAUCACAUUUCAAAGCUGCAUAAGAAGUUUUCCAGAAAAACAAUCCCCUCAGUGCAGCACAGGAAGCCAGGUCUCCGGACAGCGGCACUGGGGGCUCUGGAGGCUGGAGCUGUGACAGAGGCAUCGACUGUGUGCGUGUCCUCAGCUCUGGACCCGGCCUGGCCCGCGGGGGGGCCCUGCAGAUGUGUGCGGUGGGGGUGCGCACCUGCCACCCACAAGCCCUGGCUUUUCCAGCUGUGGGUGGGGCCUUGGGGCGCCUCUCAGGGCGUCUCAGGAUGGAAGGAGCGAGCGGGUGCCACGUGUUUAAUAACCCGCUGUGGUUGCAGAGAACCCAGCCCCCCAGCCCUGCACAUCCGCUCGCUCCUUCUCUGCCAGUCAGAGCGAGCAUGGUCGUCGGGCAGGCACUCGGGAGUGGGCCGUUGGCGACGCAGACCAGCCCUUUCCCGGAGGCCGGGAGGUGGUCGGAUGUGCCCAGGGAGGGCUCCCGGAGCUGCUGCCUCAAGCGAAUGCCAGUGCACGUGAGUGGCAAGUGGCACGUCCCCCCGUGGCCCUGAAUAUGAUUUCGAGAGUGGCUUCCAGCGUGAUGGCCCUCAGUGCACUUGCCAUGCUCUGUAGGAAAAAGGCAGAAUUUGAGUUUCCAGAGGAACUUCCCCCCGUCCUUGGGCAAAAUCACCAGAGCAGGGGCCUGCCAUUGACACGGGCAGGCGCUGCGGCCACACCACAGAUUUUUCUGGAACUCCGUGGAUCACAGGCACAAUAUCCUGAUUUCUGUGGCUUAGGCAAUCCUCUGGUCCAGACUCUUGCAGGACUGCAGUCAAGAUGUCGGCUCGGGCCGGGCUCUCGUCCGAAGGCUUGACCCGGGAAGGCUCUGUAUCCAACCUGCCUCAUGGCUGUCGGUCAGGUGCCCUCUGUGCCGGGGAAGAGCUCCGCCAGACGGAAGCCGUAGCUUGUGGGGCUUCAUUUUGGAAGUGGCCUCCUGUCCCUUAGUUUGCUUAGAAGCAAGUCAGCGGCCAGCCAGCACCUAGGAGAGGGGAUCACACAAGAGGGGAUCAUUGGAGCCAUUUUCGAAGCCGGCCCGCUGCAGAGGCGCUUGCGGGCUGCUGGAGAGCCACGAGCCCCAGCCUGGCUCUCAGGCGGUACGGAGGUUCACCUGAAGUGAGCCGCAGACCUCAGUGUAACGUACAAAACUGGCAGGAAGUCACUGGGUCAAGGGCUGGGCAGAGUUCUUAGCCUUGACCACCGGAGCCUGCUUUGGGUUCUGUGUCUCUCUUCCCCUCCUCUGCAUUCCUUCUCUCUCUCUCUCUCUGUCAAAAAUAAACAAAAAGGGGUGAAAGCGUGUGUGCCGAGUCCAGCCCCAGCAGGUCCAGGGCUCCCUGAAGGGUGGACGGUGUCGGCGAGAGAGAGGGAGAGAGCCUCGAG